CUGUGAAUAUUUUUCCUGUUCUGAUUUUGUGAUAAUCAGAACAGGCUAAAUAUACACCAUAUUGAGACCAUGCAUUUGUCCCAAGACCUAGUUCUUUUCCUAUGUGUGGUUUUAUAAAUGCUGGCAAUAAAC
ensembl:snoRNA SNORA72 Small nucleolar RNA SNORA72